rnacentral:rRNA from 1 species
UACGGGGGGAGCAAGCGUUGUUCGGAUUUACUGGGCGUAAAGGGCGCGUAGGCGGUCAGCACAAGUCAGUUGUGAAAUCUCCGGGCUUAACUCGGAACGGUCAACUGAUACUGUGCGACUAGAGUGCAGAAGGGGCAACUGGAAUUCUCGGUGUAGCGGUGAAAUGCGUAGAUAUCGAGAGGAACACCUGCGGCGAAGGCGGGUUGCUGGGCUGACACUGACGCUGAGGUGCGAAAGCGUGGGGAGCAAACAGG